rnacentral:rRNA from 1 species
UACGGAGGGUGCAAGCGUUGUCCGGAUUUAUUGGGUUUAAAGGGUGCGUAGGCGGCCCUGUAAGUCAGUGCUGAAAUAUCCCAGCUUAACUGGGAGGGUGGCAUUGAUACUGCGGGGCUAGAGUACAGAUGAGGUAGGCGGAAUUGACGGUGUAGCGGUGAAAUGCUUAGAUAUCGUCAAGAACACCUAUAGCGAAGGCAGCUUACUAGGCUGUAACUGACGCUGAGGCACGAAAGUGUGGGGAUCAAACAGG